UCCGUAGGUGAACCUGCGGAGGGAUCAUUACUGAGUUACCGCUCUAUAACCCUUUGUGAACGUACCUAACCGUUGCUUCGGCGGGCAGGGGAAGCCUCUCGCGGGCCUCCCCUCCCGGCGCCGGCCCCCACCACGGGGACGGGGCGCCCGCCGGAGGAAACCAAACUCUAUUUACACGACGUCUCUUCUGAGUGGCACAAGCAAAUAAUUAAAACUUUUAACAACGGAUCUCUUGGUUCUGGCAUCGAUGAAGAACGCAGCGAAAUGCGAUAAGUAAUGUGAAUUGCAGAAUUCAGUGAAUCAUCGAAUCUUUGAACGCACAUUGCGCUCGCCAGCAUUCUGGCGAGCAUGCCUGUUCGAGCGUCAUUUCAACCCUCAAGCACCGCUUGGUUUUGGGGCCCCACGGCACACGUGGGCCCUUGAAGGUAGUGGCGGACCCUCCCGGAGCCUCCUUUGCGUAGUAACUAACGUCUCGCACUGGGAUCCGGAGGGACUCUUGCCGUAAAACCCCCCAAUUCUUUACAGGUUGACCUCGGAUCAGGUAGGAAUACCCGCUGAACUUAAGCAUAUCAAUAAGCGGAGGA
rnacentral:rRNA from 1 species